GGUUAAGCGACUAAGCGUACACGGUGGAUGCCCUGGCAGUCAGAGGCGAUGAAGGGCGUGCUAAUCUGCGAUAAGCGCCGGUAAGGUGAUAUGAACCGUUAUAACCGGCGAUACCCGAAUGGGGAAACCCAGUGUGAUUCGUCACACUAUCAUUAACUGAAUCCAUAGGUUAAUGAGGCGAACCGGGGGAACUGAAACAUCUAAGUACCCCGAGGAAAAGAAAUCAACCGAGAUUCCCCCAGUAGCGGCGAGCGAACGGGGAGGAGCCCAGAGCCUGAAUCAGCAUGUGUGUUAGUGGAAGCGUCUGGAAAGGCGCGCGAUACAGGGUGACAGCCCCGUACACAAAAGCGCAUAUGCUGUGAGCUCGAUGAGUAGGGCGGGACACGUGGUAUCCUGUCUGAAUAUGGGGGGACCAUCCUCCAAGGCUAAAUACUCCUGACUGACCGAUAGUGAACCAGUACCGUGAGGGAAAGGCGAAAAGAACCCCGGCGAGGGGAGUGAAAAAGAACCUGAAACCGUGUACGUACAAGCAGUGGGAGCCCCACCACUAAGCCAGUGGUGAACUCCACAUACGCAUCCUUUGCUGAGGAGACGGUUAACGGAGCGAAAGCGACGUUCAACCUCAAAAGAAGCAGAGGGGGCUUAGUGGUGGGGUGACUGCGUACCUUUUGUAUAAUGGGUCAGCGACUUAUAUUCUGUAGCAAGGUUAACCGUAUAGGGGAGCCGGAGGGAAACCGAGUCUUAACCGGGCGUUAAGUUGCAGGGUAUAGACCCGAAACCCGGUGAUCUAGCCAUGGGCAGGUUGAAGGUUGGGUAACACUAACUGGAGGACCGAACCGACUAAUGUUGAAAAAUUAGCGGAUGACCUGUGGCUGGGGGUGAAAGGCCAAUCAAACCGGGAGAUAGCUGGUUCUCCCCGAAAGCUAUUUAGGUAGCGCCUCGUGAAUUCAUCUCCGGGGGUAGAGCACUGUUUCGGCUAGGGGGCCAUCCCGGCUUACCAACCCGAUGCAAACUGCGAAUACCGGAGAAUGUUAUCACGGGAGACACACGGCGGGUGCUAAUGUCCGUCGUGAAGAGGGAAACAACCCAGACCGCCAGCUAAGGUCCCAAAGUCAUGGUUAAGUGGGAAACGAUGUGGGAAGGCCCAGACAGCCAGGAUGUUGGCUUAGAAGCAGCCAUCAUUUAAAGAAAGCGUAAUAGCUCACUGGUCGAGUCGGCCUGCGCGGAAGAUGUAACGGGGCUAAACCAUGCACCGAAGCUGCGGCAGCGACACCGUGUGUUGUUGGGUAGGGGAGCGUUCUGUAAGCCUGUGAAGGUGUGCUGUGAGGCAUGCUGGAGGUAUCAGAAGUGCGAAUGCUGACAUAAGUAACGAUAAAGCGGGUGAAAAGCCCGCUCGCCGGAAGACCAAGGGUUCCUGUCCAACGUUAAUCGGGGCAGGGUGAGUCGACCCCUAAGGCGAGGCCGAAAGGCGUAGUCGAUGGGAAACGGGUUAAUAUUCCCGUACUUGGUGUUACUGCGAAGGGGGGACGGAGAAGGCUAUGUUGGCCGGGCGACGGUUGUCCCGGUUUAAGCGUGUAGGUAUGUGUUCCAGGUAAAUCCGGUUCACUUUAACACUGAGGCGUGACGACGAGGCACUACGGUGCUGAAGCAACAAAUGCCCUGCUUCCAGGAAAAGCCUCUAAGCAUCAGGUAACAUCAAAUCGUACCCCAAACCGACACAGGUGGUCAGGUAGAGAAUACCAAGGCGCUUGAGAGAACUCGGGUGAAGGAACUAGGCAAAAUGGUGCCGUAACUUCGGGAGAAGGCACGCUGACACGUAGGUGAAGUGAUUUACUCACGGAGCUGAAGUCAGCCGAAGAUACCAGCUGGCUGCAACUGUUUAUUAAAAACACAGCACUGUGCA
rnacentral:rRNA from 1 species